AAUCCUAUUUCCAUUCCUAUUUGGAAGACAAUAUACAAUUUUCAAUCUCUCAAUAUUUAAUUUAUAUUUCUAUUCUGAUUUGGAUUUCGAUCACAAAUCACAUGUAUCGGAGGAUAUGAUCAUUCUGAUUUUAUAUCAACUUUUGUUGCAAAUCAAAUGCAUCCUUAACUACCAAAAGCACAUUGGAAGUUAUGAGGACG
rnacentral:lncRNA from 1 species